GAGUCCCCGCUGAGACUGAGCAGACGCCUCCAGGAUCUGUCGGCAGCUGCUGUUCUGAGGGAGAGCAGAGACCAUGUCUGACAUAGAAGAGGUGGUGGAAGAGUACGAGGAGGAGGAGCAGGAAGAAGCAGCUGUUGAAGAGCAGGAGGAGGCAGCGGAAGAGGAUGCUGAAGCAGAGGCUGAGACCGAGGAGACCAGGGCAGAAGAAGAUGAAGAAGAAGAGGAAGCAAAGGAGGCUGAAGAUGGCCCAAUGGAGGAGUCCAAACCAAAGCCCAGGUCGUUCAUGCCCAACUUGGUGCCUCCCAAGAUCCCCGAUGGAGAGAGAGUGGACUUUGAUGACAUCCACCGGAAGCGCAUGGAGAAGGACCUGAAUGAGUUGCAGGCGCUGAUCGAGGCUCACUUUGAGAACAGGAAGAAAGAGGAGGAGGAGCUCGUUUCUCUCAAAGACAGGAUCGAGAGACGUCGGGCAGAGCGGGCCGAGCAGCAGCGCAUCCGGAAUGAGCGGGAGAAGGAGCGGCAGAACCGCCUGGCUGAAGAGAGGGCUCGACGAGAGGAGGAGGAGAACAGGAGGAAGGCUGAGGAUGAGGCCCGGAAGAAGAAGGCUUUGUCCAACAUGAUGCAUUUUGGGGGUUACAUCCAGAAGCAGGCCCAGACAGAGCGGAAAAGUGGGAAGAGGCAGACUGAGCGGGAAAAGAAGAAGAAGAUUCUGGCUGAGAGGAGGAAGGUGCUGGCCAUUGACCACCUGAAUGAAGAUCAGCUGAGGGAGAAGGCCAAGGAGCUGUGGCAGAGCAUCUAUAACUUGGAGGCAGAGAAGUUCGACCUGCAGGAGAAGUUCAAGCAGCAGAAAUAUGAGGCCACCUGGGACCUGAGCCAGUCAGCUCCAGCGUUGCUCUUUGUCCUUCCCACUUUUCUUGCAGAUCAAUGUUCUCCGAAACAGGAUCAACGAUAACCAGAAAGUCUCCAAGACCCGCGGGAAGGCUAAAGUCACCGGGCGCUGGAAAUAGAGCCUGGCCUCCUUCACCAAAGAUCUGCUCCUCGCUCGCACCUGCCUCCGGCCUGCACUCCCCCAGUUCCCGGGCCCUCCUGGGCACCCCAGGCAGCUCCUGUUUGGAAAUGGGGAGCUGGCCUAGGUGGGAGCCACCACUCCUGCCUGCCCCCACACCCACUCCACACCAGUAAUAAAAAGCCACCACACA
ensembl:lncRNA novel transcript